GUUCUUGGUGAUGCAACUCUUACCUCUCGCAUAUCGAUCCAGAAAUUUUGUUGUGUAAUCUCACAGUUUAGCAAUUUCAAACGCGGGCAUACAGUUUAGCAAUUUCAAACGCGAACAAGAAAUAAAUGAUGCCUUUGGUCUGCCCCAAGGUAGUAGGAUUACUCCCCCAGGACAUACAGACUUAUCGGAAGUAUGCAUAGAGUUCAACAGACAGGCCUCAAGCAUUAGUACAAAAGGGGUACACAACCUGAAGGCCGCUGAAUUCAUAGUAUCGAAGCCAUUAGACGAGAAUUCAAGCAGAGUCAAUUGCGAAUGCUUCAAGGUAGUAGGAUUAUUCCCCCAGGGCAUUUUUCAAAUGUGCGGAAUCAAUGUACUCUAGCUUGCCUUGCAAUUCUAUUGGAUGGACUAGAGCAUACCCCACGGUAAUGACUGAAAAGUUCUCAAGGUAAUAUCAAGACCCCCCAUUUUGAUCUUGUGAUUUAGCCAAGCUUCAUAAAACAAGAAGGAAUAUACUUACGUUAGCUUGCUCGCUCUGCAGUGAGCAGCCAGGCAUUUGUUCGAUUUACAUCAGAGGAAAUACGACGGCGACAAUCUUCAGAGCCCGACCACAAAGGAAACACAUAGCAUUGGCACGCAUCGCCACCCUGCACAAAAUUCUGAAGCUUGAACGGAACCGAUCCGAUGCACAUAACACAGCAAUGCAGCAUAUCAAAUCAUCUAUAAACACUCUGUGGUCAUUUUUUCGGAGUUCAGAAUGUCAGUAUUCAGGAGAGGAAUGUACCCUAGUCGGCUUUGAUAUAUUUUUCAGAAUUAUUUUUGGUCACGCCCGUCCCUGACAACAUUCAAGAUUUCUUGCAUUUUCUUCCAGCUGUGAACUCGGUGCAAUAUUCGAUUUUUGUUCAAACGCAUACAAUGCUUAAAAAAUAUAACUCAACCAGACAUUACAGCCAGCAAGCCCCACGGGCCAUACACAUACAUAUUGGUACGCUUUGUUCAAACGGAUACAAUGCUUGAGAAAUAUAAUCCAAGCAUACACUACAGCAAGCAAGUCCCAUGAUAACAACCGUGUUCGAUUGCAUUCAGGCUAGACAUAUUCUAACAAAUUCACCAGAUCAGCUUUCAGUCUCCAAGAUGGAUGAGGACGCUAGCGCCGAUCACUAUGCACGCUAGCAGUGCGAACAGCAUCAUCUUAUGUUGCCGCUGCAGCCUGGAUAUUGCUACCCGCAUGACAUCUAGUUCACCCUCUCCACCAUCAAUCAGCAAAUUUCUUCACGGACUAGAACAACUCCAGCAACUGAGCAUGCUCGUGAUGAUCCGGACGCGCACUUUGUUGGGGUGGCGAGCACAUCCAGAUCACGAUCGCACGAUGUGAAUCUGUGAGGGAUCAAGCUUGAAGGAGAUCUACAAAAGCCAUAUCAUUGACAAUCGAUAGUACGUUUGGGACUAUAAACUAAGCAACUGCAAAUUUCAAUAUGUACUUCAGAUUUCCUUCCAUGGCGACAAACUCCAUUAACAUCUGAAAUUUGUCGAAUGUCAGAUCGGCGCUCCUCGCGUGUUAUUUGUGUUGUGACGAUGACCACCACCCCACACACUAAAGAUAGAGAACCGGUGCCACUGCUCACCCGAAACUAGUGGGGUCUAUCAGAGUCCAGUCUCCAGUGCGAUAUCAGCAUUUAAGCUCCGGCACAAUGUGUGCGAAGAACAGAUACCACUCUCAGCCCGAACCAGUUCCAAACCUAGGAUAGGUUAAGAAGCACGGCGGCACACAUAUAGCUGCGCAUGUUAUACUGGACCAAGGCACGGGUAUUAUGCUCUGUAAGACGAAUAGUAUAUUGUCAGUUGCAGUAGCUAUAUAACAGGCUGACAGACUUUAGUUACAUCUCGAUGCACGCAACGAACGCGGCAGAUAAAGUGCACCGUUGACGCCGUGCACUGAAAAUGCGCUCCGCAUGUUGGUUCGCUACUACUCCCUCCGUUCCAAAAUAGAUGACCCAAUUUUGUACUAACUUUAGUAUAAAGUUGGGUCAUCUAUUUUAAAACGGAGGGAGUAUCUAUCUAUGGUGUUGUUUUCUUUGACUCCUCGGCCUCAUCGGCGCAUCCCUAGCCCUAGCCCCAAACCACAUGUACUUUAUGAACUUCACCUUCACCAAGAAGUAAGCACCGGCCUGAGAACUGAGAUUUAGAUAACCAUAUCAUUUACUUUGGUUUCAAACUGGAAUUUAGCCAAGCGAGAUCGUAAAUAGAUAGAGUUUCCUUCAAUGAAUUAAUAUACACGCGCGCAUGUAGCUAUUUGUAGUUGCUGACAAAAUUAAAGCACGUAAAAAUCGCUCUCUUGCAGCUACAUGCAUGGUCCGGCAGUUACAUGGUCAGAAGUAGAGCGGAUACUGGUGGGGGUAGUAGGAGCUGGGCGGGUAGAAGUAGUACGGCGGCGGGUGCAUGGGCUCUGGCUUCGGCUCAUCCUUCUUCUUCUCCUCCGGCUUCUUCACUUCCUCCACCUUGAUGAUUUGGGCGUGGCCGAGCUUCUUGCGGAGGCAGCUGACGAGGCACACCGAGUCGACGCCGUCGCCGACCACCUCCAGCUGGUCCCUCGCGUCGCCGGUUAUCCCCAUCGACGUCACCCCGGCUGCUCUGGCAGCCAGGGUCAAUGCUUUCGACCGGCUUUUGUCGCACGACAUGCUCAACUGGAUGACAAUCUUUUGCUGCAACAACAAGGAGGAUCAAUCGUAUGCUCCAGCUUCCGAGUAGUACAUAGACGAGACGAUGAGCUGCUAAACAAAACAAGACGAGAAGUAAACAAAUUGUAGGAGCAGAAACCCACCUUCAUUGCUUGCUGCUGCUGUGAAGGAGAAACGGCCGGGAACUUAAUGGGGAAAUGUUGGUGUUCGAGGCAAGGCUAGAAUGGUUGGGGUAGCAACUGAUCGAUCUUUAGUAGAUGCAAUGCUGCCUUAUAUACACGCACGCAGUGGGUGCGGGUGUGCAAGCAGAGACCAGAGUCAGCAGUAUGAGGAGCGAUCCCAACGAAGCUAGUCGUAAGAAGAUUCGUUGCAGCGGCAGUUGAGCAAGCAGUAUGAGUCAGCAGUGAGUAGACUAAUACAAGUGCCCUAAUGGGCAAGUAGAUGUAAGCGCGUCCUGAUCACAAUCACAUGCGCUCCUUGAAUUUUCCGAUGGGCAGGCUACCCAGUAAUUCCAGGACGACGCGACCAACCCAAUUAUUGUCGAUUGGCCAUGUUGCAGUCUUCUCCGAAGACGCGGCUGCGGAGAUACCCACGUAGACCCAGUCGAUCGAUUCGUUAACAAUAUCAGCAUGAACGAGACAAAAUACCUGGAUACAAUAGGUCAAAUUCAACUGAUCAGCGGUCCUCGAUCAGCUACUAGUACCAUUUUUUAUCUUAGUUUUUGAAACAGGCUUUUGCCCCUUUUUAAAUAUAAAUCAACAACCGAAUGAAGUACACGAUCGAAUGAUAUAGGGUCAUAUAUAUGAUAACCCUCCGAGGACAAGCGGACCAUGUAAGAUGCACGCGACUAUGCCGUCCAGGGAAAGCACAUGUGAAAUUGAUUACAACACCAUACUACGCUCUAUAACACCUAAGCUUCAUGAUAACGCCUCGGGAAGGAGAACGGUGCUAAACAUCGCCACUGUCAAGUCCACAAUGAACAAAGGUUCUCACCCGGAACCCAGACACGUAGAGGAGCACCACAACGAUGUCUUCAGGAAGGAAAGGCCAUCAACAAUUCCAUGGAUGGAAUUUCUUUAAGGGGUGGAGGCUGUCAUGACCCAUAGUUUAGACGAGAGCGGGAAUAUUUUUUUUUUCGAAUGUGCGUUGCAUUCGUGCAUACAAACUUUGGGCUAAUUUUAAAAGAAACUUCGUGCAUAUCUGCCACAUCACCGAUACUAUCGUUGAAUUCAGAUUCAAAUAAAAAAUUGAGACAACCUCUGCUCAUUUUUGAGUUUUGGCACAAUUCAAAAGUACAAUUUGUUUAUGAAUUGAGAAUUCGUUUAAAUAAUGAUAACAAGAUCCAAGCAGAUCACCAAAGACUAGCACCGAUUGAAUCCCGCGAGAUCUGACGGAGACACGCCACCACAUGCCCUUCGAUGACGUUAGACGCACCAUCGGGACAGGGAUUGGGUGUGGGAGAUAUUAUUCCUACUAGGGGAGAGCGCUGCCACCACACAGCCUCAACCGAGACACUGAAACGAACAAGAAUGAGAGCGGGAUCCCUCUCGCAGGCGAGGGGCCGAGGUCCUCCGCUCCACCGCGGCCCAAGGACAUGGGAGGCGAGGUGGACCGGCGACGGCGCCGAUGGAAGGAAAAGAAACCCUAGUCACCUAAGAAUAGUUUGGCGUGCGAGAUUGUCCUUCUUUACGAUCACACCUCGACAAAGGUACCACAUAUUUAAAAAAAUUAUUGUUACCUUUGACUUUUAUUUUUUACUGUUGCCCAUUGAAAUCUCGAAGUUCGCAGAAUCUACUGAAAUAGUAGUACAUAGAAUGUACGUAGAAUUUACCGAAAUAGUAGUAUAUUGAAAUCUCCGAGUAAAGGUUCCACCGGGAUUCAUCCUGGCUUUGUGUCAACUGGACCGCGCUAGUCUCCCCAAAAGGGUGUGCCAUGACGCAAGGCGGAGUUUGAUCAAAUUCCGCCGAAAAGGAACAUUAGGGCCCGUUCCGAAGCUCUCCAGCUUCCGAAACGAGUCAGCUUCUCAUGGAGCUGGGCGAUCUGGCUUCUCACGGGAGCCAGCGCUGCAUUCGGCAGCAGCGGCUGCUCCAGCUCCCGUUUGCAUGGGCUGGCAGCCCAGGAAGCACUGCCUCAGGGUCACUUGGAGGUCGCAUAUAUCGGGCCGCUCGUUCUCCAAGGAGCAGGAUUCUGGGAGCUGCACCGUUCGGCUAGCUUCUCGCUGGCUUCUCGCGAAGCUGGAAGCUGGAGGACAUCCGAACGGGGCCUAAGCGGCAAUGUGCUCAAAAAUUGCGCAAGCAUAUGAUUUUUGUCAUGAGCAAUACAUUACAAAGCUGAAUAUUGUUUUCAGAGAGCGGCAUUAUCAACACGUAUCCUCGUAGAAAUAAAUAUAUAUGUUACAAAUCUGGUUAAACAAAUACCGCAGCUCAUUUCUUAAAAAAAAGCCAUUUCCUUUCGUACAUGGGUAUAUGGGGUACAUAUACCCCAGUACCUAUUCGUCAAUUCAUUGUUGUAUGCUGCAUUGUGUCAUGUGUAGUUAUCUAUCAUUGUGUUAUUUCAAUGAUUUAAGCGUUGAAGCAAUUGUGUUAUCACCGGUGAGAUAACCAUGCAUGGACCGUUCUUGGACUCGUGGCACUGAUAUUGUCAAUCAAUAUAUGAUGACUUAGCGGUCAUAGUCUGUAAAUGAUCAAUAUAUGAUCGAUGACCUACCUGUCAUAAUCUGCAAAUUCUGAUAGUCGAGAAACACAAUUCUUUUUCAAACAGCGGUACGUUGUUAUCAAACAAUAGGAAACGUUGCCAUCUCACGCCAUCUAUACCAUUAAAUUGACCUUUGUGCGGGCCGUUGUGUUCAGCGGUGUCAUUUUCAUGAACGCAUGACCGAAUUAAUUCUUCUUUAGGCUCUGAGGUUAGUUGGCUGAUUCACAACUUUGACCAUCUUACUUGAUACGGUUGUAAAUAGACUACUAGGAUUAUACAAAAAAAAUGCAGACUAGGUCACUAGAGACUACUUCAGUACUGGUUUAGAAUCUGACAUUUCAACGGUUAAUUUGUUGGGAUGUAGUUAUAUUUUUGCUGUAAAUGUAAACCUAGACCAACUGCGUAGCACUCUAAUUAUUGUGCGGUCUGUCAUUUUCCAGCUCCUCCUUGUGUUGUGGAAUUGGUUGCUCUGGCUGUAUUUGGAUUUCCAACUAACCAGUGAAGCUAGUACUAUUAAGAGCUCGAAGUUUACUCUACAGAGUGAACAUUCAUAUGCAAAAACUUAAAUAUCGGUGCAAAUGUCCAAAAAAAUUCUACUCCCUCCAUUUCCUUACACAAGAUCACUAUAAAAGGUACAUUUUGUAUAUAUAUAAGGCCACUAACAGUAAUCGAGACAAAAAUUAAUGAUGUUUUCUCAUACUAGCAAUUUGUUUAAUACU